GGUUAAGCGACUAAGCGUACACGGUGGAUGCCCUGGCAGUCAGAGGCGAUGAAGGACGUGCUAAUCUGCGAAAAGCGUCGGUAAGGUGAUAUGAACCGUUAUAACCGGCGAUGUCCGAAUGGGGAAACCCAGUGUGAUUCGUCACACUAUCGUUAACUGAAUACAUAGGUUAACGAGGCGAACCGGGGGAACUGAAACAUCUAAGUACCCCGAGGAAAAGAAAUCAACCGAGAUUCCCCCAGUAGCGGCGAGCGAACGGGGAGCAGCCCAGAGUCUGAAUCAGCUUGUGUGUUAGUGGAACGGUCUGGAAAGUCCGACGGUACAGGGUGAUAGUCCCGUACACCAAAAUGCACAGGUUGUGAACUCGAAGAGUAGGGCGGGACACGUGGUAUCCUGUCUGAAUAUGGGGGGACCAUCCUCCAAGGCUAAAUACUCCUGACUGACCGAUAGUGAACCAGUACCGUGAGGGAAAGGCGAAAAGAACCCCGGCGAGGGGAGUGAAAAAGAACCUGAAACCGUGUACGUACAAGCAGUGGGAGCACCUUCGGGUGUGACUGCGUACCUUUUGUAUAAUGGGUCAGCGACUUAUAUUCUGUAGCAAGGUUAACCGUAUAGGGGAGCCGCAGGGAAACCGAGUCUUAACUGGGCGUUAAGUUGCAGGGUAUAGACCCGAAACCCGGUGAUCUAGCCAUGGGCAGGUUGAAGGUUGGGUAACACUAACUGGAGGACCGAACCGACUAAUGUUGAAAAAUUAGCGGAUGACUUGUGGCUGGGGGUGAAAGGCCAAUCAAACCGGGAGAUAGCUGGUUCUCCCCGAAAGCUAUUUAGGUAGCGCCUCGUGAACUCAUCUUCGGGGGUAGAGCACUGUUUCGGCUAGGGGGUCAUCCCGACUUACCAACCCGAUGCAAACUACGAAUACCGAAGAAUGUUAUCACGGGAGACACACGGCGGGUGCUAACGUCCGUCGUGAAGAGGGAAACAACCCAGACCGCCAGCUAAGGUCCCAAAGUCAUGGUUAAGUGGGAAACGAUGUGGGAAGGCACAGACAGCCAGGAUGUUGGCUUAGAAGCAGCCAUCAUUUAAAGAAAGCGUAAUAGCUCACUGGUCGAGUCGGCCUGCGCGGAAGAUGUAACGGGGCUAAACCAUGCACCGAAGCUGCGGCAGCGACACUAUGUGUUGUUGGGUAGGGGAGCGUUCUGUAAGCCUGCGAAGGUGUGCUGUGAGGCAUGCUGGAGGUAUCAGAAGUGCGAAUGCUGACAUAAGUAACGAUAAAGCGGGUGAAAAGCCCGCUCGCCGGAAGACCAAGGGUUCCUGUCCAACGUUAAUCGGGGCAGGGUGAGUCGACCCCUAAGGCGAGGCCGAAAGGCGUAGUCGAUGGGAAACAGGUUAAUAUUCCUGUACUUGGUGUUACUGCGAAGGGGGGACGGAGAAGGCUAUGUUAGCCGGGCGACGGUUGUCCCGGUUUAAGCAUGUAGGCUGGUUGUCCAGGCAAAUCCGGAUAAUCAAGGCUGAGGUGUGAUGACGAGGCACUACGGUGCUGAAGUAACAAAUGCCCUGCUUCCAGGAAAAGCCUCUAAGCAUCAGGUAACAUCAAAUCGUACCCCAAACCGACACAGGUGGUCAGGUAGAGAAUACCAAGGCGCUUGAGAGAACUCGGGUGAAGGAACUAGGCAAAAUGGUGCCGUAACUUCGGGAGAAGGCACGCUGGUGUGUAGGUGAAGUCCCUGCGGAUGGAGCUGAGACCAGUCGAAGAUACCAGCUGGCUGCAACUGUUUAUUAAAAACACAGCACUGUGCAAACACGAAAGUGGACGUAUACGGUGUGACGCCUGCCCGGUGCCGGAAGGUUAAUUGAUGGGGUUAUCCGUAAGGAGAAGCUCUUGAUCGAAGCCCCGGUAAACGGCGGCCGUAACUAUAACGGUCCUAAGGUAGCGAAAUUCCUUGUCGGGUAAGUUCCGACCUGCACGAAUGGCGUAAUGAUGGCCAGGCUGUCUCCACCCGAGACUCAGUGAAAUUGAACUCGCUGUGAAGAUGCAGUGUACCCGCGGCAAGACGGAAAGACCCCGUGAACCUUUACUAUAGCUUGACACUGAACAUUGAGCCUUGAUGUGUAGGAUAGGUGGGAGGCUUUGAAGCGUGGACGCCAGUCUGCGUGGAGCCAACCUUGAAAUACCACCCUUUAAUGUUUGAUGUUCUAACGUUGGCCCCUGACCGGGGUUGCGGACAGUGUCUGGUGGGUAGUUUGACUGGGGCGGUCUCCUCCCAAAGCGUAACGGAGGAGCACGAAGGUUAGCUAAUCCUGGUCGGACAUCAGGAGGUUAGUGCAAUGGCAUAAGCUAGCUUGACUGCGAGCGUGACGGCGCGAGCAGGUGCGAAAGCAGGUCAUAGUGAUCCGGUGGUUCUGAAUGGAAGGGCCAUCGCUCAACGGAUAAAAGGUACUCCGGGGAUAACAGGCUGAUACCGCCCAAGAGUUCAUAUCGACGGCGGUGUUUGGCACCUCGAUGUCGGCUCAUCACAUCCUGGGGCUGAAGUAGGUCCCAAGGGUAUGGCUGUUCGCCAUUUAAAGUGGUACGCGAGCUGGGUUUAGAACGUCGUGAGACAGUUCGGUCCCUAUCUGCCGUGGGCGCUGGAGAAUUGAGGGGGGCUGCUCCUAGUACGAGAGGACCGGAGUGGACGCAUCACUGGUGUUCGGGUUGUCAUGCCAAUGGCACUGCCCGGUAGCUAAAUGCGGAAGAGAUAAGUGCUGAAAGCAUCUAAGCACGAAACUUGCCCCGAGAUGAGUUCUCCCUGAGACUUUAAGUCUCCUGAAGGAACGUUGAAGACGACGACGUUGAUAGGCCGGGUGUGUAAGCGCAGCGAUGCGUUGAGCUAACCGGUACUAAUGAACCGUGAGGCUUAACCUU
rnacentral:rRNA from 1 species